AGCUAGGGGAGCGAACGGGAUUAGAAACCCCGGUAGUCCUAGCUAUAAACGAUGUUGACUAGGUGUCGACGGUCUAAACCCCGCCGGUGCCGGAGCAAACGCAUUAAGUCAACCGCCUGGGGACUACGGCCGCAAGGUUAAAACUCAAAGGAAUUGACGGGGACCCGCACAAGCAGCGGAGCGUGUGGUUUAAUUCGAGGCUACGCGAAGAACCUUACCAGGGAUUGACAUGAUCGUAGUAGUGAAGCGAAAGCGGAACGACCCUUCGGGGAGCGAUCACAGGUGAUGCAUGGCUGUCGUCAGCUCGUGCCGUGAGGUGUUUGGUUAAGUCCACUAACGAGCGCAACCCCUAGCGCCAGUUACACGUGUCUGGCGCGACUGCCGGUAUUAAGCCGGAGGAAGGUGGGGAUGACGUCAAGUCAGCAUGUCCUUUAUACCCUGGGCGACACACACGCUACAAUGGCCAGCACAAUGGGUCGCCAAGCCGUGAGGCGGAGCCAAUCCUAAAAAGCUGGUCUCAGUUCGGAUUGCAGGCUGCAACCCGCCUGCAUGAAGUCGGAGUUGCUAGUAACCGCAGGACAGCUAUACUGCGGUGAAUACGUUCCCGGGUCUUGUACACACCGCCCGUCACGUCAUGGGAGCUGGCAACACCUGAAGCCGGUAGGCCAACCGCAAGGACGCCGCCGUCGAAGGUGGGGUCGGUGAC
rnacentral:rRNA from 1 species